rnacentral:rRNA from 1 species
AAAUUGAAGAGUUUGAUCAUGGCUCAGAUUGAACGCUGGCGGCAGGCCUAACACAUGCAAGUCGAGCGGAAACGAGUUAUCUGAACCUUCGGGGAACGAUAACGGCGUCGAGCGGCGGACGGGUGAGUAAUGCCUAGGAAAUUGCCCUGAUGUGGGGGAUAACCAUUGGAAACGAUGGCUAAUACCGCAUGAUGCCUACGGGCCAAAGAGGGGGACCUUCGGGCCUCUCGCGUCAGGAUAUGCCUAGGUGGGAUUAGCUAGUUGGUGAGGUAAGGGCUCACCAAGGCGACGAUCCCUAGCUGGUCUGAGAGGAUGAUCAGCCACACUGGAACUGAGACACGGUCCAGACUCCUACGGGAGGCAGCAGUGGGGAAUAUUGCACAAUGGGCGCAAGCCUGAUGCAGCCAUGCCGCGUGUGUGAAGAAGGCCUUCGGGUUGUAAAGCACUUUCAGUCGUGAGGAAGGUGGU